rnacentral:rRNA from 1 species
AGCUAAUACCGGAUAACAUUUUCUCUUGCAUAAGAGAAAAUUGAAAGAUGGUUUCGGCUAUCACUUACAGAUGGGCCCGCGGUGCAUUAGCUAGUUGGUGAGGUAACGGCUCACCAAGGCAACGAUGCAUAGCCGACCUGAGAGGGUGAUCGGCCACACUGGGACUGAGACACGGCCCAGACUCCUACGGGAGGCAGCAGUAGGGAAUCUUCCGCAAUGGACGAAAGUCUGACGGAGCAACGCCGCGUGAGUGAUGAAGGCUUUCGGGUCGUAAAACUCUGUUGUUAGGGAAGAACAAGUACAAGAGUAACUGCUUGUACCUUGACGGUACCUAACCAGAAAGCCACGGCUAACUACGUGCCAGCAGCCGCGGUAAUACGUAGGUGGCAAGCGUUAUCCGGAAUUAUUGGGCGUAAAGCGCGCGCAGGCGGUUUCUUAAGUCUGAUGUGAAAGCCCACGGCUCAACCGUGGAGGGUCAUUGGAAACUGGGGAACUUGAGUGCAGAAGAGAAAAGCGGAAUUCCACGUGUAGCGGUGAAAUGCGUAGAGAUGUGGAGGAACACCAGUGGCGAAGGCGGCUUUUUGGUCUGUAACUGACGCUGAGGCGCGAAAGCGUGGGGAGCAAACAGGAUUAG